rnacentral:lncRNA from 1 species
UUGAUUUUGUUUGUUCCUUUGAUUCAGCAUCACAGGGGAAAAGAACCUUGCUUGGUUUCCUAUGUAUCUUUUCUGGUUAGAUCAUCUGUCUUUAACGCUGAUUUAUUUUCCAUUACAGUCAACAUCCUGAGUCUGUUUCUAACAGUGGAAUCUUCAUAUUGAUAGAGUCUUUCAUGGGGUUGUGAAAGACGAAAGAAGAAAUCAUCUGAAAUGGAUCUGAAGAGUUCUCAGAGGAAGUGACUCAUGUUGAAGAGGAAGUGACAAAGCAGGUGGUAGUGGCGGGGAAAGAUGAAGGAGAGAACUACAACGGUAUUCCUAAGUGACGUCCAAUAGCCUAAAUUUAUCACAGUUCCAUCAGAACACCCAACUCAUUCACUGAGAGGGAUUUUAUCCAAGUGUCUGCCUACAUUUAACCCAGUUAAGACAAUUCACAUUCAAGUGUGAUCAAUAACAAAUCCAUCUAAGCUUGACCUUCUUUUCAAAGUAGGAGAUUAUUAACCAGCAAAAGUUUCAAGCUGAGUAAAUUUGGAGUAUGAUGUAGAAGGAGAACACAUAAGGCAACUUCACAGGAAGAUGUUUGAUCAUUUAGUAUCUACUGCAUUUAAAAAUAAGAUCAUUAUUUUUUAAGACAAGAACAUUAUCAACAAGAUCAAUUCUAGGCUGGUCUAAAGCAAUGAUCUCACGGUAGCUGUAAAAUAGUUGGCUGUGUCCUAUCUACUCUAGGGUCAGUUUGUGUGUCUGUGAAAUAAGGGGGCUGGACCAGGAUAGGGACAAACAUGAGCUGUGAAAAAUCAGAAAGCUAUCAUCGUGUUAUUCCUUUUCAAAUAUGACAGUAAGC